GACGAACUUUGGCGGCGUGCUUAACACAUGCAAGUCGAACGGAAAGGCCCUGCUUUUGUGGGGUGCUCGAGUGGCGAACGGGUGAGUAACACGUGAGUAACCUGCCCUUGACUUUGGGAUAACUUCAGGAAACUGGGGCUAAUACCGGAUAGGAGCUCCUGCUGCAUGGUGGGGGUUGGAAAGUUUCGGCGGUUGGGGAUGGACUCGCGGCUUAUCAGCUUGUUGGUGGGGUAGUGGCUUACCAAGGCUUUGACGGGUAGCCGGCCUGAGAGGGUGACCGGCCACAUUGGGACUGAGAUACGGCCCAGACUCCUACGGGAGGCAGCAGUGGGGAAUAUUGCACAAUGGGCGGAAGCCUGAUGCAGCAACGCCGCGUGCGGGAUGACGGCCUUCGGGCUGUAAACCGCUUUCGCCUGUGACGAAGCGUGAGUGACGGUAAUGGGUAAAGAAGCACCGGCUAACUACGUGCCAGCAGCCGCGGUGAUACGUAGGGUGCGAGCGUUGUCCGGAUUUAUUGGGCGUAAAGGGCUCGUAGGUGGUUGAUCGCGUCGGAAGUGUAAUCUUGGGGCUUAACCCUGAGCGUGCUUUCGAUACGGGUUGACUUGAGGAAGGUAGGGGAGAAUGGAAUUCCUGGUGGAGCGGUGGAAUGCGCAGAUAUCAGGAGGAACACCAGUGGCGAAGGCGGUUCUCUGGGCCUUUCCUGACGCUGAGGAGCGAAAGCGUGGGGAGCGAACAGGCUUAGAUACCCUGGUAGUCCACGCUGUAAACGGUGGGUACUGGGUGUGGGGUCCAUUCCACGGGUUCCGUGCCGUAGCUAACGCUUUAAGUACCCCGCCUGGGGAGUACGGCCGCAAGGCUAAAACUCAAAGGAAUUGACGGGGCCCCGCACAAGCGGCGGAGCAUGCGGAUUAAUUCGAUGCAACGCGUAGAACCUUACCUGGGUUUGACAUGGAUCGGGAGUGCUCAGAGAUGGGUGUGCCUCUUUUGGGGUCGGUUCACAGGUGGUGCAUGCCUGUCGUCAGCUCGUGUCGUGAGAUGUUGGGUUAAGUCCCGCAACGAGCGCAACCCUUGUUCACUGUUGCCAGCACGUUAUGGUGGGGACUCAGUGGAGACCGCCGGGGUCAACUCGGAGGAAGGUGGGGAUGACGUCAAGUCAUCAUGCCCCUUAUGUCCAGGGCUUCACGCAUGCUACAAUGGCUGGUACAGAGAGUGGCGAGCCUGUGAGGGUGAGCGAAUCUCGGAAAGCCGGUCUCAGUUCGGAUUGGGGUCUGCAACUCGACCUCAUGAAGUCGGAGUCGCUAGUAAUCGCAGAUCAGCAACGCUGCGGUGAAUACUUUCCGGGGCU
rnacentral:rRNA from 1 species